UACAGGGGGGGCAAGCGUUGUUCGGAAUUACUGGGCGUAAAGGGCACGUAGGCGGAUGUGUCAGUCAGGGGUGAAAUCCCGGGGCUCAACCUCGGAACUGCCUUUGAUACAGCACGUCUCGAGUCCGGAAGAGGUGGGUGGAAUUCCUAGUGUAGAGGUGAAAUUCGUAGAUAUUAGGAAGAACGCCGGUGGCGAAGGCGGCCCACUGGUCCGGUACUGACGCUGAGGUGCGAAAGCGUGGGGAGCAAACAGG
rnacentral:rRNA from 1 species